rnacentral:rRNA from 1 species
AUUGAACGCUGGCGGAAUGCUUUACACAUGCAAGUCGAACGGCAGCACGGACUUCGGUCUGGUGGCGAGUGGCGAACGGGUGAGUAAUGUAUCGGAACGCGCCCAGUCGUGGGGGAUAACGUAGUGAAAAUUACGCUAAUACCGCAUACGAUCUAUGGAUGAAAGCGGGGGAUCGCAAGACCUCGCGCGAUUGGAGCGGCCGAUAUCAGAUUAGGUAGUUGGUGGGGUAAAGGCCCACCAAGCCAACGAUCUGUAGCUGGUUUGAGAGGACGGCCAGCCACACUGGAACUGAGACACGGUCCAGACUCCUACGGGAGGCAGCAGUGGGGAAUUUUGGACAAUGGGCGAAAGCCUGACCCAGCCAUUCCGCGUGCAGGAUGAAGGCCCUCGGGUUGUAAACUGCUUUUGUACAGAACGAAAAGGUUUCUACUAAUACUAGGAGCUCAUGACGGUACUGUAAGAAUAAGCACCGGCUAACUACGUGCCAGCCGCCGCAGUAA